rnacentral:miRNA from 1 species
UACUCAGAAGGGGCCAGGUUG